GAUCGGCUGCGGCUGGAUGCAACCGAUCGGCGAGAGUAGCCGCGUGCAGGUGGGGAGGAGCUGCAAAAUGGAGAUAUGAAGCCGGACACGUUGUGGCUCCCGUAGUUUGCUGCAAUUACGUCAGUCAUGGCAGAUCACGUGGCGUUUGCUUACUUGAUCGCAGACGAGCUGGAAGCAAUAGAAAAUCCAUUAUUUUUGCAAUACAUUGAGCACGAUGAGCAACGAAGAAUGAUUCCAAAAAUAGACAAUUUUGUGGAGGAUGUUGUCCCUCUCUACAGUCUCUCAGAAUUUAGAAGUCAUUUCAGGCUUUCCAGAGAACAAGUGGAGGUUUAUACUGGACUGUUUAAUAUAAAAUUCAUUGAACUAUUACAAGUGUUAGCAUGUUGUCUUGAUUACCUAUUUUUCUACCUUUGCAAGAUGUCAUCACUACCCUUGGUCCUGUGUAUAUGAAUUUACAACAGACCAAACUGCCACUCACAAACCGUGUUCUUGCCUGCCUUUGGACAUUGCUCCUCCACAAUUGUUCCCAAGCUGGUCACCAUCUUUUUUUCGAAGGACCUUCUCUGCCUCUCCUUAAGUCGCCGCCAUCUCUCCAGAUCUGGCCUUACCAGAGACUCAAGCACAGCAGUCCUUCUCUCUGCAUGCUCUUCAUAAGCGUCCAGGAAUUGUAAGGGUUGUGGUCGUCUUUGCCUUCUUGUGAUGUUUGCAUUUUGUAUGGUAGCAGUUGCUAGCUGUUCAUACAUACUAGCACCUACCGGCUGGUCUUGAAGAGAAGACGUUGUGGGCCUGCUUGUGGAAGAGGUCUCUUCCAAACCCAGAGGUGUGGAGUGAAUGGUGCCAGGUGGUGCAGUACCGAUCCCCGAUGACCCAAAUAACUCAUCCAUUAGCUGGUGGGGGUGGAUGUAAAAUGAA